rfam:Solanum lycopersicum cultivar Heinz 1706 chromosome 1, whole genome shotgun sequence.
GGAUGUGAUCAUACCAGCACUAACGCACCGAAUCUCAUCAGAUCUCCGAAGUUAAGCGUUCUUUGGCGAGAGUAUUACUAGGAUGGUUAACCCCCUGGGAAGUCCUCGUGUUGCAUCCC